CCUGCGGAAGGAUCAUUACUGAGUGAGGGCCCUCUGGGUCCAACCUCCCACCCGUGUUUAUUGUACCUUGUUGCUUCGGUGCGCCCGCCUCACGGCCGCCGGGGGGCUUCUGCCCCCGGGUCCGCGCGCACCGGAGACACUAUUGAACUCUGUCUGAAGAUUGCAGUCUGAGCAUAAACUAAAUAAGUUAAAACUUUCAACAACGGAUCUCUUGGUUCCGGCAUCGAUGAAGAACGCAGCGAAAUGCGAUAACUAAUGUGAAUUGCAGAAUUCAGUGAAUCAUCGAGUCUUUGAACGCACAUUGCGCCCCCUGGUAUUCCGGGGGGCAUGCCUGUCCGAGCGUCAUUGCUGCCCUCAAGCACGGCUUGUGUGUUGGGCUCCGUCCCCCCGGGGACGGGUCCGAAAGGCAGCGGCGGCACCGAGUCCGGUCCUCGAGCGUAUGGGGCUUUGUCACCCGCUCUGUAGGCCCGGCCGGCGCCAGCCGACAACCAAUCAUCCUUUUUUCAGGUUGACCUCGGAUCAGGUAGGGAUACCCGCUGAACUUAAGCAUAUCAAUAAGCGGAGGAA
rnacentral:rRNA from 1 species